rnacentral:tRNA from 1 species
GCCUAGUUAGCUCGUUUGGUAGAGCGUCUGCCUUAUAAGCGCUAGGCCGCGGGUUCGAUUCCCACCCGGGGCG